AGAGUUUGAUCAUGGCUCAGAUUGAACGCUGGCGGAAUGCUUUACACAUGCAAGUCGAACGGCAGCACGGGGCAACCUGGUGGCGAGUGGCGAACGGGUGAGUAAUACAUCGGAACGUGCCCAAUCGUGGGGGAUAACGUAGCGAAAGUUACGCUAAUACCGCAUACGAUCUACGGAUGAAAGCGGGGGAUCGCAAGACCUCGCGCGAAUGGAGCGGCCGAUGUCAGAUUAGGUAGUUGGUGGGGUAAAGGCUCACCAAGCCAACGAUCUGUAGCUGGUCUGAGAGGACGACCAGCCACACUGGAACUGAGACACGGUCCAGACUCCUACGGGAGGCAGCAGUGGGGAAUUUUGGACAAUGGGCGCAAGCCUGAUCCAGCCAUUCCGCGUGCAGGAUGAAGGCCUUCGGGUUGUAAACUGCUUUUGUACGGAACGAAAAGGUCCUGGUUAAUACCUGGGGCUCAUGACGGUACCGUAAGAAUAAGCACCGGCUAACUACGUG
rnacentral:rRNA from 1 species